rnacentral:rRNA from 1 species
UCAGAACGAACGCUGGCGGCAUGCCUAACACAUGCAAGUCGAACGAGACCUUCGGGUCUAGUGGCGCACGGGUGCGUAACGCGUGGGAAUCUGCCCUUGGGUUCGGAAUAACAGUUAGAAAUGACUGCUAAUACCGGAUAAUGUCUUCGGACCAAAGAUUUAUCGCCCAGGGAUGAGCCCGCGUAGGAUUAGCUAGUUGGUGAGGUAAAAGGCUCACCAAGGCGACGAUCCUUAGCUGGUCUGAGAGGAUGAUCAGCCACACUGGGACUGAGACACGGCCCAGACUCCUACGGGAGGCAGCAGUGGGGAAUAUUGGACAAUGGGCGAAAGCCUGAUCCAGCAAUGCCGCGUGAGUGAUGAAGGCCUUAGGGUUGUAAAGCUCUUUUACCCGGGAUGAUAAUGACAGUACCGGGAGAAUAAGCCCCGGCUAACUCCGUG